rnacentral:rRNA from 1 species
UACGUAGGGGGCUAGCGUUGUCCGGAUUUAUUGGGCGUAAAGAGCGUGUAGGCGGCCAGGUAGGUCUGCUGUGAAAACUCGAGGCUCAACCUCGAGACGUCGGCGGAAACCAUCUGGCUAGAGUCCGGAAGAGGAGAGUGGAAUUCCUGGUGUAGCGGUGGAAUGCGCAGAUAUCAGGAAGAACACCCGUGGCGAAGGCGGCGUCCUCUGGGACGGUACUGACGCUGAGACGCGAAAGCGUGGGGAGCGAACAGG